rnacentral:rRNA from 1 species
AGAGUUUGAUCMUGGCUCAGAUUGAACGCUGGCGGUAUGCUUAACACAUGCAAGUCGAACGGUAGCAGGCCUUCGGGCGCUGACGAGUGGCGGACGGGUGCGUAACGCGUAGGAAUCUGCCUGUUAGUGGGGGACAACGUGGGGAAACUCACGCUAAUACCGCAUACGCCCUACGGGGGAAAGCGGGGGCUCUUMGGACCUCGCGCUAACAGAUGAGCCUGCGUUGGAUUAGCUAGUUGGUAGGGUAAAGGCCUACCAAGGCGACGAUCCAUAGCUGGUCUGAGAGGACGAUCAGCCACACUGGGACUGAGACACGGCCCAGACUCCUACGGGAGGCAGCAGUGGGGAAUAUUGGACAAUGGGCGCAAGCCUGAUCCAGCAAUACCGCGUGUGUGAAGAAGGCCUGAGGGUUGUAAAGCACUUUYAAUSGGGAGGAAYASCGGYCGGYKAAUACCCGGUCGYYUGACAUUACCKAUAGAARAAGCACCGGCUAACUCCGUGCCAGCAGCCGCGGUAAUACGGAGGGUGCRAGCGUUAAUCGGAAUUACUGGGCGUAAAGCGUGCGUAGGCGGUUGGUUAAGUCAGAUGUGAAAGCCCCGGGCUUAACCUGGGAACGGCAUUUGAAACUGAUCGACUAGAGUUGGGUAGAGGGGAGUGGAAUUUCAGGUGUAGCGGUGAAAUGCGUAGAUAUCUGAAGGAACACCAGUGGCGAAGGCGGCUCCCUGGACCCAAACUGACGCUGAGGCACGAAAGCGUGGGUAGCAAACAGGAUUAGAUACCCUGGUAGUCC